rnacentral:rRNA from 1 species
AUUGAACGCUGGCGGCGUGCUUAACACAUGCAAGUCGAUCGGUAACGCGGGGGCAACCCUGGCGACGAGAGGCGGACGGGUGAGGAACGCUUGGGAAUCUGCCCUUCAGCGGGGGACAACCCGGGGAAACCCGGGCUAAUACCGCAUACGCUCCACGGAGGAAAGCCGGGGACCGCAAGGCCUGGCACUGAAGGAUGAGCCCAAGUCGGAUUAGCUAGUUGGCGGGGUAACGGCCCACCAAGGCGACGAUCGUUAGCUGGUCUGAGAGGACGAUCAGCCACACUGGGACUGAGACACGGCCCAGACUCCUACGGGAGGCAGCAGUGGGGAAUAUUGGACAAUGGGGGCAACCCUGAUCCAGCCAUGCCGCGUGAGUGAUGAAGGCCUUCGGGUUGUAAAGCUCUUUUGGCGGGGACGAUGAUGACGGUACCCGCAGAAUAAGCCCCGGCUAACUUCGUGCCAGCAGCCGCCGUAAAAC